AUGAUAUGCUUCUUCGCAGUCGAGUUGCACUUUGUAGACUGUGUGGCAAGACAAUUUGGAAGAAGACAAGGUAUUCCAAUUGAGGAGAGCAAGGAGGAAAUGCUAUCUCUGCAUCGGUUCGAUCGAAGGAACAAUCAGGAUAUAUCGGAUUGGACAAACAAACACCGUGCGUGGAUAGAAAUUUGGAAUCAAAGAGACACGUUAGUGCAAUCAUAGAAUAGACCUCACAAUCAGUCAGCAUAUCAGAAGUACCAAGUGUGGUAUGCGGAUCGUUACCGGUUAAAGCUGAAGCCUGGUUGGACUCAUGAGGAGUGGUCGGAGUUGGUGUCUGAAGACCCGGAGACUGCACAAGGUUAUCAAACCUUAAACAUGGUUGUGAGAGACACCAGAGGGGCUCACGUUGACUAUGCACCGAUGCAUGAUGAAAUGGUAGUCUGUUUGACCUAUUCUAACAUACUUGCAUCAUGUUGUCUUCUUUCAAAUACAUAA
rnacentral:rRNA from 1 species